AUUGAACGCUAGCGGGAUGCUUUACACAUGCAAGUCGAACGAGUGGCGGACGGGUGAGUAAUAUAUCGGAACCUGCCCAAUAGCGGGGGAUAACUACUCGAAAGAGUGGCUAAUACCGCAUACUAUCGGAUCAGCCCAUAUCGGAUUAGCUAGUUGGUGGGGUAAAGGCUCACCAAGGCCACGAUCCGUAGCUGGUUUGAGAGGAUGACCAGCCACACUGGGACUGAGACACGGCCCAGACUCCUACGGGAGGAAGCAGUGGGGAAUUUUGGACAAUGGGGGAAACCCGGAUCCAGCCAUGCCGCGUGUAUGAGAAGGCCUUCGGGUUGUAAAGUACUUUUGGCAGAGAAGCGGUAUCUGCAGAAGAAGCACCGGCUAACUACGUGCCAGCAGCCGCGGUAAUAC
rnacentral:rRNA from 1 species